rnacentral:rRNA from 1 species
AGGAGGUUGGCUUAGAAGCAGCCAUCCUUGAAAGAGUGCGUAAUAGCUCACUGGUUAAGUGGUGAUGCGCCGAUAAUGUAGUGGGGCUUAUAAAGUACACCGCCGAAACCGCGGCAACACACAUUUUUGGUGUGUGUUGGGUAGGGGAGCGUCGUGCAUGCGUGGAAGCUGUCACGGAAGUGGUGGUGGAGUGUGUGCGAGUGAGAAUGCAGGCAUGAGUAGCGAAAAACAUGUGGAAAACGUGUUCGCCGGAUGACUAAGGGUUCCUGGGUGAAGCUAAUCUUCCCAGGGUGAGUCGGGACCUAAGGCGAGGCCGACAGGCGUAGUCGAUGGAUAACGGGUUGAUAGUCCCGUACCCGUGUAUGCGCGACAAGUGGUGACUCGGUUGUACUAACCACCCACCACCGCGGGAUCAAUGCUUUUGGUGUUGGUUUGGUGUGUGGUGCGUGGGAUCUUGAUCGUUGGUAGCCAAGCGAUGGGGUGACACAGAUUGGUAGUCAAGGCCACUUAUUGGAUUGUGGUGUAAGCGUGUGGCCCGUAGGAUAGGUAAAUCCGUUCUGCAUAUAGGGUGAGGCGUGAUGCGUACCCAGGUUUGGGGAUGUUUGAUGUGCCUGUGCUGUCGAGAAAAGCCUCUAGCGAUGUGUGUGCACGGCCCGUACCGGAAACCGACACAGGUGGUCUGGUUGAGGAUACUAAGGCGUUCGGGUGAACUAUGGUUAAGGAACUCGGCAAAAUGCCCCCGUAACUUCGGGAGAAGGGGGGCCAUGUGCGGCAAUCACCCCUUGUGCGGUGUGCGUUGUGUGUGGCCGCAGAGAAGUGAGGGAAGCGACUGUUUAUUAAAAACACAGGUCCGUGCGAAGACGUUGCAAGUCGAGGUAUACGGACUGACGCCUGCCCGGUGCUGGAAGGUUAAGAGGACUCGUGAGCACGCCCUCGUGGUGUGUGAGGCGGGUAAUUGAAGCCCCAGUAAACGGCGGUGGUAACUAUAACCAUCCUAAGGUAGCGAAAUUCCUUGUCGGGUAAGUUCCGACCUGCACGAAUGGCGUAACGACUUCCCUGCUGUCUCAACCAUAGGCCCGGUGAAAUUGCAGUACGAGUAAAGAUGCUCGUUUCGCGCGGCAGGACGAAAAGACCCCGGGACCUUUACUAUAGCUUGGUAUUGGUGUGUGCUGCAGCUUGUGUAGGAUAGGUGGGAGACGUGGAAGCGCCCACGCUAGUGGGUGUGGAGUCAUUGGUGAAAUACCACUCUGGUUGUUGUGUGCAUCUAACUGUGGGCCCUGAUCGGGUUUUGGGACAGUGCCUGGUGGGUAGUUUAACUGGGGCGGUUGCCUCCUAAAUGGUAACGGAGGCGCCCAAAGGUUCCCUCGGCUUGGUUGGUAAUCAGGUUUGUAGAGUGUAAGUGCAGUAAGGGAGCUUGACUGUGACACUGACGGGUGGAGCAGGUGCGAAAGCAGGGACUAGUGAUCCGGCAUCAACGUGUGGGUGUGGUGUCGCUCAACGGAUAAAAGGUACCCCGGGGAUAACAGGCUGAUCUUCCCCAAGAGUUCAUAUCGACGGGAUGGUUUGGCACCUCGAUGUCGGCUCGUCGCAUCCUGGGGCUGGAGUAGGUCCCAAGGGUUGGGCUGUUCGCCCAUUAAAGCGGCACGCGAGCUGGGUUUAGAACGUCGUGAGACAGUUCGGUCUCUAUCCGCCGCGCGCGUGGAAACUUGAACAAGGCUGUCCCUAGUACGAGAGGACCGGGAUGGACGUACCUCUAGUGUGCCAGUUGUCACGCCGGUGGCAUGGCUGGUUGGCUAUGUGCGGGAGGGAUAACCGCUGAAAGCAUCUAAGCGGGAAGCCUGUUGUGAGAUGAGGUUUCUGUUGAGGUUCCCUGAAGAUGAGGGGGUUGAUAGGUCGGAGUUGGAAGCAUCGCAAGGUGUUGUGAGAUGACCGAUACUAAUAUGACCGACACAAACACAC